rnacentral:pre_miRNA from 1 species
UUUAUACUCCCUCCGUUCGGAAUUACUUGUCGCAGAAAUGGAUGUUUCUAGAUGUAUUUUAGUUCUAAAUACAUCCAUUUCCGAGACAAGUAAUUCCGAACGGAGGGAGUAUUAU